GUUGAGAUGAGGAGAUGGAGAGUGGAUACAUGGAUAGAGGAAGGGAUUUGGAGCAGGCAGUAACUUGGAGAUUUACCACAGUAACUUUAUUGUUACUGUGUGGUAACUGAGUUAAAAGACUUGGGAAGUUACCUUGCAAUUUACCACAGUAACUUUAGUUUUACUGUGGUAACUAAGUGAGAUGAAGAGAAGUUACCCGGAUGGGUUAAAAUGGAGUUUUGAGUAUUCUCUCUCUACUUAUUCUCUUAAUCUCUUUAAUCUUACACAAAACAGUAUGAUUGUUCUUAAGCUUGUUUAGAAACACUCUAAUACACAAAAGUGUAUAUGGUAUCAGAGCCAGGUUGCUGUAAAAGGAGAGAGUGAUUUCGUUUUUCUUGAGUGUUCUUGAGUGUUCUUGAG
rnacentral:lncRNA from 1 species